rnacentral:rRNA from 1 species
GACGAACCGUGCGAACGUUAUUCGGAAUCACUGGGCUUAAAGCGCGUGUAGGCGGGAUGGCACGUCGGUCGCUGAAAGCCCCCGGCUCAACCGGGGAAGUGGCGCCGAUACGACCACCCUGGAGGGACGUAGGGGGACCUGGAACUUCCGGUGGAGCGGUGAAAUGCGUUGAGAUCGGAAGGAACGCCCGUGGCGAAAGCGAGGUCCUGGACGUCUGUUGACGCUGAGACGCGAAAGCCAGGGGAGCGAACGGG